UACGUAGGGUGCAAGCGUUGUCCGGAAUUAUUGGGCGUAAAGGGCGCGUAGGCGGCUUUGCAAGUGACGGGUGAAAGCCCUCGGCUUAACCGAGGAACUGCCUGUCAGACUGUAAGGCUUGAGACCGGGAGAGGUGAGUGGAAUUCCCAGUGUAGCGGUGAAAUGCGUAGAUAUUGGGAGGAACACCAGUGGCGAAGGCGGCUCACUGGACCGGAACUGACGCUGAGGCGCGAAAGCGUGGGGAGCAAACAGG
rnacentral:rRNA from 1 species